CCAUUUAGUUGGGUAUCCUCAUUCACCCUGUAAAUUUAACUCAAGGUUGUUAUGCCUGUACCCAUUUCCCUUGCCUGUAACAACCAAACAUAACUGCGGUCUGCAUUCUGACUGGAGUCAGUGUUACUUACCUUAGUCUGGUCAGUCACUUCCAAUUGCGUUUGCCAGUUCCCCUCUCGUCAUCAUUCUGACCGUACUUACCUCCUGAGGGAACCUCUGCAUCGGUUACCUGAAGAAAGAAGUAUCAUUAUGACCACAUUUUUUCUACAGGGACAAUUUCCAGCUUACAGCUGUGCUCUCCAUGGUGCUUCCUCUGGUUUCUCUCCAGAUUCGCUAAGAACUUCUCUCCCACCGUGAGGGUACCUAGAAACCAGAAACGUCAUCACUAUAAUGACCAGAAAUUCAAGCUUGGAGCACCACUCCCAUCACAAAAAGACUCUACAUCCUCUCUCAGCAUCACAGCCCAUCCUAAAAUUGCAGUUACACCCAGAAAAAUACCACAAGUACUUUCAGCCACAGCUGGAGGAGGAUCAGCCUAUUAGACCAAUAGACUAUCAGGAGACUCUUUUUUUUUUUCCCAGGAAAAUGAGACAAAGGAGGGGGCUGCCAGCCUAUGAAAGGUAAAACUUGAGUUUUUAUG